GAUGAACGCUGACAGAAUGCUCAACACAUGCAAGUCUACUUGAUCCUUCGGGUGAAGGUGGCGGACGGGUGAGUAACGCGUAAAGAACUUGCCUUACAGACUGGGACAACAUUUGGAAACGAAUGCUAAUACCGGAUAUUAUGACUGGGUCGCAUGAUCUGGUUAUGAAAGCUAUAUGCGCUGUGAGAGAGCUUUGCGUCCCAUUAGUUAGUUGGUGAGGUAACGGCUCACCAAGACGAUGAUGGGUAGCCGGCCUGAGAGGGUGAACGGCCACAAGGGGACUGAGACACGGCCCUUACUCCUACGGGAGGCAGCAGUGGGGAAUAUUGGACAAUGGACCAAGAGUCUGAUCCAGCAAUUCUGUGUGCACGAAGAAGUUUUUCGGAAUGUAAAGUGCUUUCAGUUGGGAAGAAGUCAGUGACGGUACCAACAGAAGAAGCGACGGCUAAAUACGUGCCAGCAGCCGCAGUAAGACCUGGACUGCC
rnacentral:rRNA from 1 species